rnacentral:rRNA from 1 species
GGAGCUAACGCGUGAAGUUGACCGCCUGGGGAGUACGGCCGCAAGGUUAAAAACUCAAAGGAAUUGACGGGGACCCGCACAAGCGGUGGAUGAUGUGGAUUAAUUCGAUGCAACGCGAAAAACCUUACCUACCCUUGACAUGUCCAGAAGCUUUUAGAGAUUUGAGUGUGCCCGAAAGGGAACUGGAACACAGGUGCUGCAUGGCUGUCGUCAGCUCGUGUCGUGAGAUGUUGGGUUAAGUCCCGCAACGAGCGCAACCCUUGUCGUUAAUUGCCAUCAUUUAGUUGGGCACUUUAACGAGACUGCCGGUGACAAACCGGAGGAAGGUGGGGAUGACGUCAAGUCCUCAUGGCCCUUAUGGGUAGGGCUUCACACGUCAUACAAUGGUCGGUACAGAGGGUUGCCAAGCCGCGAGGUGGAGCCAAUCCCAGAAAGCCGAUCGUAGUCCGGAUUGCAGGCUGCAACUCGCCUGCAUGAAGUCGGAAUCGCUAGUAAUCGCGGAUCAGCAUGUCGCGGUG